rnacentral:rRNA from 1 species
UGGGGAAUCUUGGACAAUGGGCGCAAGCCUGAUCCAGCCAUGCCGCGUGAGUGAAGAAGGCCUUAGGGUUGUAAAACUCUUUCGCCGGAGAAGAUAAUGACGGUAUCCGGAGAAGAAGCCCCGGCUAACUUCGUGCCAGCAGCCGCGGUAAUACGAAGGGGGCUAGCGUUGUUCGGAAUUACUGGGCGUAAAGCGCACGUAGGCGGGUCUGUAAGUAGGGGCUGAAAUCCCAGGGCUCAACCCUGGAACUGCCUUCUAGACUGCAGGCCUGGAGGUCAGGAGAGGCGAGUGGAAUACCGAGUGUAGAGGUGAAAUUCGUAGAUAUUCGGUGGAACACCAGUGGCGAAGGCGACUCGCUGGACUGAUACUGACGCUGAGGUGCGAAAGCGUGGGGAGCAAACAGGAUUAGAUACCC